CCUACGGGUGGCAGCAGUGGGGAAUAUUGCACAAUGGGGGAAACCCUGAUGCAGCGACGCCGCGUGAGUGAAGAAGUAUUUCGGUAUGUAAAGCUCUAUCAGCAGGGAAGAAAAUGACGGUACCUGAUUAAGAAGCCCCGGAUAACUACGUGCCAGCCGCCGCGGUAAUCCGUAGGGGGCAAGCGGUAUCCGGAUUUACUGGGUGUAAAGGGAGCGUAGACGGCAGCACAAGUCUGGAGGGAAAGGCCGGGGCUUAACCCCGGAACUGCAUUGGAAACUGGGCAGCUAGAGUGAAGGAGAGGUAAGUGGAAUGACUAGGGUAGCGGUGAAAUGCGUAGAUAUUAGGAGGAACACCAGUGGCGAAGGCGGCUUACUGGACUGUAACUGACGUUGAGGCUCGAAAGCGUGGGGAGCAAACAGGAUUAGAUACCCUUGUAGUC
rnacentral:rRNA from 1 species